CCUACGGGAGGCAGCAGUGAGGAAUAUUGGUCAAUGGCCGGAAGCCUGAACCAGCCAAGUAGCGUGAAGGAUGACUGCCCUAUGGGUUGUAAACUUCUUUUAUAAAGGAAUAAAGUGCGGCACGUGUGCCUUUUUGUAUGUACUUUAUGAAUAAGGAUCGGCUAACUCCGUGCCAACAGCCGCGGUAAUACGGAGGAUCCGAGCGUUAUCCGGAUUUAUUGGGUUUAAAGGGAGCGGAGAUGGGUAGUUAAGUCAGUUGUGAAAGUUUGCGGCCCAACCGUAAAAUUGCAAUUGAUACUGGCAGUCUUGAGUACAGUAGAGGUAGGCGGAAUGCGUGGUGUAGCGGUGAAAUGCUUAGAUAUCACGAAGAACUCCGAUUGCGAAGGCAGCUUACUAAACUGCCACUGACAUUGAUGCUCGAAAGUGUGGGUAUCAAACAGGAUUAGAUACCCCAGUAGUC
rnacentral:rRNA from 1 species